GGGUAGGGGAGGGUCGGCACCCUCCAUUCCCUGGGCGGAACCGUGCGCCCUGGGGGCCGGGCACCCUGUUCUCGUGGAAAGGCAGCCAGUAAAAUGAGUGAUCCUCUAUUUAGGUGUGAAGAGGAAGAAUGACCCUCCAGUGGACGGCAGUGGCAACCUUUCUUUAUGCUGAAAUAGGAAUCAUUUUGCUCUUCUGUCUACCUUUCAUUCCUCCCCAGAGAUGGCAGAAGAUUUUUUCAUUUAAUGUCUGGGGUAAAAUUGCAAGUUUUUGGAACAAGGCUUUUCUUUCUAUUAUAGUCCUGCUGAUUGUUCUGUUUCUGGAUGCUGUGAGAGAAGUAAGGAAAUAUUCCUCUACUACUGUCAUUGAAAAGAGCUCACCUAGCAGACCUGGUGCCCAUGAACAUACACAGAUGAAACUUUUUAGGUCUCAAAGAAAUCUUUACAUUUCUGGAUUUUGCUUAUUUUUUUGGCUAGUAUUGAGACGUCUGGUUACCCUUAUUACUCAGCUGGCAAAUGAAAUGUCAAACAAAGGAGAACUUAAAAAUCAAGCAGAAAGUACUAACGAGGCUGCCAGAAAAUUCAUGAAAGAGAAUGAAAAACUGAAACAGCUCUUGAAAAGCUAUAACAAGGAAGAGGAACACAUUUUGGAAGCAGAAAAUAAAAAACUGGUAGAAGACAAGGAAAAACUGAAAACUGAACUAAAGAAGACUUCAGAUGCCCUUUCAAAGGCACAAAAUGACAUAAUGGCAAUGAAGAUGCAAGCAGAGAGUCUUUCAAAAGAAUAUGACCGACUCCUAAAAGAACACUCAGAACUUCAGAAAAGAAAAAAACAGAACUAACCAAGGGUCAUUGGCAGUAUAAAAGCAUGAGCACCUGCAAAUUUAUAACUUUCGCUUUAGAAAAUCACCCUUUACUUAAGGGACUUAUCCAGAAUAACUGCUCCAUUCAAGCUGUGAUUUUUAUCUAAAGUAGAUCGUUUACCAAAAGACAACAAGAAAAGCCUGUGAACUGUCAGAAAGAAGAGCGUGGCAUACCAUGUCAGGAUGAUAAAUUUGCUAUCAUGUUAGUCUCUCAGAAAUUUAAAAUUCAGUUCAGAAAAAUGUACUAUGACUGGCCAAUAUUUUUUUAAAUGCCAUACAUAAGCUGUUAUUAUAAUGACAUUAUCACAAUAUUUGAUGAUGUUUCACAUAUAUUGUAAAGUCUAUAUUCUGUCUCUUAAGUAAAAUAUAAGCAUGUUAAAAACAUUUAGAUACUCAUAGUAACAGUGGUGUAUGGUGGCUAUUUACCAAUAGGAACAAAAAUUCAUUAGCCAGUUACUUCCAAAAUUAGAUUUUUAAGUUGCAUGAAACCAUUAAUAGCCUUUAAAAGCUUUGAUGAGUUUCUACUAAUAAUAAUCUAUUUAAUCAGAUGAUGACAAUGAUUAUGUAUUUGAAUAUAGUAUCCAUCAUCAGCAAAUUUGUUCAUGGGAAGAUUAAAUAAGGAUAAAUGAUCAGAAUUUGCCACUAUAUUAAUAGGGAAGAGUCAGAGCAAAAAAUAAAAAUAGUGACCUUAAAGCCUGAUGACACAUACUAUGGUUUAGUCUCAUAAGACAACUGUUUUAAUAAUUAUAUUUUUGUUACUGUGCUUCUACAUCUAUUGGACUGUUUUUGUUGACAUUUGUGUCAAUGACACGUAAUUAGUAAGUGGUCAAUCUUUUUAAAGUCCAUCUGGCAGUGGAGUUUACAUCUAUUUGUACAACUGUCACAGCACUGAACUAAAAUUAUUUUGCAACAAUUUGGAAUUCUUGACUCAGAGAGUAAGUAUUUCCCAUUACUGUGAGAUUAUAUAGUUAUAAUACAUAUAUUACCUCUAGUAUACAUACACUGGUAUCACAGUUCCUCUGAGAUGUUUAUGUAUUCUGAAAACUAAAUAUUAAAUACUAUUUUUCCAUUCAAAUAUUCAUUUAGUGUUUUCUUUAGAAAAUGAUAAUGAUUAUUGCAUUAAUAUGAUUUAGGUUGUUCCCAGUGUUUAGACGUGGAAAUUAUCUUCCUUGUCUCAUAAAAACCUAAAUAUAAAAGAAAAUGGAAAAUAAUUACUAGAGUUUUUAUUUUCUUCAUAUUUGUUUUAUCCUUUGUUGUUUAUUAUCCUUUUAGCAUCAACUUCACACAUAUUUAAUUUUUUUCAUUGCAAAAUGGGUGAAAUGAGCAAGUAUGUAAGACUUUUUUUCAGAUAAAAGUCAAGAGUUACUGCUAGAAAACAGACACGUAGGAGACAUUUAACAGGAGUAAGAAAUGAGAGUUAGACCAUCUGGACUGACAGCACCAUAAAUAACAAGAGGGAGGGAGUGCUGAAACAAGACAGAACUCCAAGUAUCAACUGAAAAAUAUCCAAGUUAGAGCUACAUGGGUAAUACCUAGUGAGUUGAGUGAUUUUGGCCUGCUAUACAGAAAUCAAGUCUAGUACAGAAUAACAUAGAGAAAAUUAGGAAGUACACACCUGUAGAAUUGGCAGAAUUUAAAUCUAGUCCCAGCCUCACAAUAAUUUAGCCAUGUGAUUUGAACAAAUUUUUUAACCCUCUAGACUUACAUUUCCUCAUCUUCAAAAUGGGAGCAAUAACGUUUAGGUCAGGAUUACUCUGUAUACUAAGGUAAUACUGUGAUUCUCAAAGUUGUUCAGCCUGUCUGGCAAAGUCUGGGUGCUCUUUGAAGAGCACAAGGAUUUAAAGACUUCCCAAGAUCACUUUACAGUUUACAUUUAAGUCCUCCUCAAUCUCAGCCUUCAGUUUUACAGAUGGGCA